ensembl:lncRNA
GGCAGCGCCGCGCCCGCCGGUUCACCGCCGCUCCAGCCCUCGUGGGACUCAGUGCCCCGCCUCGAGGGGCGCCGCCCUCUGACCCCGCCCGGAGAGCCCCCGCUUCUCAGGACCCCCGUGGGCACGCAGGGCCUCCUCCCGACCUCAAGGCCCCAGCCGCACCCCGUCCUCCAAGACGGACUGCAGAGGCCCACCCAGGGAAAGAAUCUGCCCACCAGGCGGGAGACCCAGGUCCCAUCCCUGAAUCGGGAAGAUCCUCUGAAGAAAGGAGUGGCACCCGACUCCAGUAUUCUGGCCUGGAGAAUCCCAC